AAAUAUAACGGAAAUGAAAGAUUCUCUCCCUAAUUCUCUCGGCUUCCUCUUCCUGUCUUUUUUUUCUCUAAGCUCAUGCUGAGUGCGUGAAUACGGUUCCCUUCCCUUCGUCCCCAUUCAUUUUCUCCUCCAUUGCUUUACCUCAAGGUUUACCAGUUUUUAACCCGCAGCACUCGUGAGAACCUUCAUGUGGUAGACCAGUCCUUCCUCUUCCUGCUGACACCGAUGGCGAGGCUCACGACUGCCAGAGAAAGGAGAUCAGCUGAGUUAAAAUUUUUGUUUCAUUUCUCUCUCUACUGUAAUUUUUCUUCCUCUUUGAUUCUUCUCUUUACAGGUUACAAAUGCUGAUGUCACCAGUGGAGGAGGUUGGGUGGCUGGCCGAAGCUGCUGGUGGAGUGUCUGUCACAAUGUGCUUGCGUGGAGGACUUUUUAUGAUGGUGAUUUCUGUGGUUGAGGCGCAUAGGAGAUAUGGUCGUCGACAUAGGAGAGAAAGGCUGGUGUUUGGGUUGAAAAUGAAGGGAGGCAGCGGCGUGGAGGAGCUGGUGGUGGCUGAUGAAGCUCGAGGUGCUAGUCUGCCAUGAACAAUGGAGGAAAAUAUAUAUGGUGGUUCUUUGUUUUGGUGUUUUAAAGGAGAGGGAGGGAUGGUUUUUUUUGUUCUCCCCAAAGAGGAGGCUAGUUUUUAGGCUUUAUUUUUUUUUAUCUCUUUUCAGAUGCACUUUUUUUAUUUUUUAUUUUAAAAAUGUUUUUAAAAAUAUUUAAAUUUUUUAUUUUUUUAUUUUAAAUUAAUAAUUUUUUGAUAUUUUCAUAUUAUUUUGAUGUACUAAUAUUAAAAAUAAUUUAAAAAAUAUAUAAAAAAAUUAUUUAAUAUAUUUUUAAGUAAAAAUUAUUUUGAAAAGUAAUCGGAACUAAUAUUUUUUUUAAGUUGAAAUAUUAUUUUGAUUUUGGCUAUUUAUAUUACUUGCUAUUCAUGUAAUUGGAAGGAUUAACUUGGAAUCCAUGACUUUAGAUCCAUACCCCUUGGUCGUUGACCUUUCUCAUGUAAUUUUAAAAUUCAUUCAUUCUGAGAGAUGAUCUACUCUGUAGUCAUGUCAAGAGAUAGCCUACCCCCAUAAAGUUUUGAAAUUUAAGAAACUCACUCAAAGUGUUUUUUGAAAACAUGGUUAUUUUAUAGAGUGACUACUCAAGGAAGUAAUUUUUUUUUAUCAUAAAGUUUAAUUUGACUUACUUGACCAUCAUGAGACUUGGCUAGAGGUGUCCUUAUUGUUGGACAGUGAUAUAAGGCUUAACUUCUGAUAUUUGGUUGAAUUCCAAUUAUACAGGAUCAAACUUCAAAGAGAGUAAAAUUCUUAGUGUAGGUUGAAUUUUGGUGCAAGACUGAACUUCCAAGUACACGUUGAAUUUUGACACAGGAUCAAACUUCAUUGAAUUGAAGUAAGUGGCACUAAGAUCAAAAUCUUGGUACCAGUUUGAAUUUUGGUGACGAAGGAUCAAACUUAUUAAAGAGUAAGAUUCUUUGUAUGAAUUGAAUUCUGAUCCAAGCUCAAACUUCUUAGCACUAGGUUAAAUUUUAUUGACACAAGGAUCAAAAUUCUUGUACUGGUUUGAAUUCCAGUGACGCGGACUCAAUUUUUUUUUAGUAUUGGUUUAAAUGCCAACGACUUAAGACAACAUUUUUUUGUACUGUUUUAAAUUCUAAUGAAGCAGUUUUAAUUUUUUUA